ensembl:lncRNA FAM86DP family with sequence similarity 86 member D, pseudogene
GGCCCCGCCCACGUCAUGGCGCCCGAGGAGAAUGCGGGGACCGAACUCUUGCUGCAGAGUUUCGAGCGCCGCUUCCUGGCGGCGCGCACGCUGCGCUCCUUCCCCUGGCAGGGGGGCGGCGGGCGAGCGGAGAGGCCCGCGGGGCUCGCGGGAGUCCAGGGGCAGACGGGAUGGGUCUCCGUGCUGAAACCCCCGGCGCUCCUGCCACAGCUUAGAAGCAAAGUUAAGAGACUCAUCAGAUUCUGAGCUGCUGCGGGAUAUUUUGCAGAAGACUGUGAAGCAUCCUGUGUGUGUGUGAAGCACCCGCCGUCAGUCAAGAAAGCCCGGUGCUUUCUCUCAGAACUCAUCAAAAAGUAACCUGAAGCUUUCACCGUAGACGUGCUGUAUUGCCCAGAAGCCAUCGUGUCGCUGGUCGGGAUCCUGCGGAGGCUGGCUGCCUGCUGGGAGCACCAGCAGUCUCCUGAGGUCUACGUGGCCUUUACCGUCCACAACCCAGAGACGUGCCAGCUGUUCACCACCGAGCUAGGCCUGUCCUAGCAGCCCCACACAAAACGCUCACGUCCUGUCCCCAAACACCGCCAUCCUCAAGCACGUGCUCUGUUUCCAGGCCGGGCUGGGAUCAUAUGGGAAGCGGAAGCUCAUCAUGACCAGAAACUGUUUCCCUAUGGAGAGCACUUGGAGAUGGCAAUGCUGAACCUCACACUGUAGGACUCACACACGACUCCAACGGGAUUGUGAGAAUCAAGUCAAUCUCAUGGGAAGAAUUUUUAUAUGGGAAAGCGGAUAAAACUUUCAUUGUACUGGAAUGUUUGGAGAAUGUUAAAUUCCAAAUCAGAAACCACAAACUGCCCUCUAAUAAGACAUCGGCUAUCUAAGCGUGUGGGUGCCCCCUUUCUGCCAGCAGUUCUGGUUCUUACGAAAAUCACCAUAUAUCAGACAUGAAAAUUCUGGCUUUGUGCAGAUAAAAAAGUGUGUAUCAAGUAUGACGUUCCCCCAAUGUGGACACACUUGGUUCCUCAGAAAGCCAAGCCCACUGCAGCUGCCACAUCCCUGGACACACUCGGUUCCUCACAAAGCCAAGCCCGCUGCAGCUGUCACAUCCCUGGACACACUCGGUUCCUCACAAAGCCAAGCCCACUGCAGCUGCCACAUCCCUGAGCCUAUGGUGCAGCAGGUGCUUUUUUCAAGACAGGGAUCAAAGUGUUAGGAACACGGCAGAAAGGUGACACCUGGAGACCAAAUGCAGGAUGAGGAGUACUGCAGAGGUCACAGGGAAGUCAGAGAACAGUAAUACGCUAACAGGGGCACGGGGCAUGAAGAACAAAAGACAGGAAGCGUUUCAGAGACUCCAAAGAAGAAAUCAGGGCCAACCACAGCUUCCCGGGUCAUUCACCAGGUGGCACCACUGCCGUCAUUUCAGCUUCUGGCCACUGGGAGGCGCUGCUCGAAAGGGUUUGCCCUGACACUCCAAGAAGCUGCGGGAAGGACAGCAGGGGCCCUGGGGUUUUAGCCUCUGGCCCAGGAGUUAUGUGUCCAUAACCAAAGGGAGCACAGUCUGCACCCAGCUCUCAUCCCAUCAGAGCUGCUGCGACUCCUGCAGGUUCUUCCGGAACUGGUUUAGCUUGCCUGCAGGAUCAGGAAAGUUUGAGAAAAGCAUCUGCAAAAUACUAAAGAGCAGAGCUUACCUCAUUGCCUGUCCCCACCCCAUCCCAGGUCACCACCUGGCUGACCCCAGGUCCCCGACCCAACAACAACCCCUCCCAAGUCCCUAACUCCCUCACUUGGACUUGAGACCCUUCACACCCCAGCAGCGCUCCGCCUCCCACUUGACAUCAUGCUUUCUGGAAACUUCCCCGUAUGUCCCACUUUCCCACACUUGGUGCCCUGGAGCACCUUCCGGCCUCUACAUGCUGUACGUUCCCCUGUGAGCACCCUCCUCUCGGCCUCUGGCCAACACAGUCCCACCCAUCUGUGGGUAACAAGGGGGAGUGGGUGUUCUUUUCAGCCUUGCUAAACUCUCUGAAUCAAGGAUCACAAACUACAGCCUGCAGGCCAAAUCCAGCCCACAGCCUGUGUUUGUAAAUAAAGCUUUAUUGGAAGAAAGCCA